UACAGAGGUCCCAAGCGUUGUUCGGAUUCACUGGGCGUAAAGGGUGCGUAGGUGGUCAGGUAAGUCGGAUGUGAAAUCUCCGAGCUCAACUCGGAAACUGCAUUGGAAACUACCUGGCUCGAGGGUUGGAGGGGGUACUGGAAUGCUUGGUGUAGCAGUGAAAUGCGUAGAUAUCAAGCGGAACACCAGUGGCGAAGGCGAGUCCCUGGACAACUCCUGACACUGAUGCACGAAAGCUAGGGGAGCAAACAGG
rnacentral:rRNA from 1 species